AACCAGAAAAAUUCUAUGAUACCAAGAUAACGUCACGCCUCCAAUUCAUUUGUAGAAAUCACUUGUUCACGCAUCAAUUGCUAAGAAAACUCUAGUUUUUCACCCCAACACUUACAAUUCCAAUUAUCCCCAACACAUUGAGUAGCGCAACCCUUUGGAGAUGCGAUUCUUGCCUGACACGAUGCGUAUUUAUCAGCUCUUCUCUCCUCAGUUUGUCAUGAUAAUUAAAUGCAAGCUUAGUUUUAUCAAACCGAGGAAGUAAAAGGGGCGAUUCUCAUAAAUCUUGAGACUUUGUUCCGUUGCGUCAUGGCAGCGUACAUAUGGUUCCACUUAGAAACUCACUCGCCUUGCUUUUAUUGGGGUUGUUCGUGUCAUAACUUAUUCCAUCGGCAUUUCCGGUCCAUCCAUCUGACUCUCCUCGGGUUUUGCUAGCUUGUUACGUGGUCCUCAAAAGCUCCAUGGACAAAGGAGCUUGCAUAUGUACAUAUAGUAUUUCACAACUUGUAGAUGCACACACGACUGGCUCUACUUUUCUCUCAGUUUUUGUGGUUUCUUUAUGGUCUUCGGAUAUGAAAGGCGAGGAGGUCCACCACAAAACUUACUUAUUUAGUUCUAACUACUCCCUCAAAAAGCAUCAAUUACACUUACAUAAACUAUUUGUGGUUAUAUUUUGACAAGCCUUCAUGCUCCUGACAGCCACCUCUGCCCCAACACUGCAUGAACGAGCAUUCAUUCAUUCACCAAUUUUUUGUUCAGUUCACUGAAUUGCAUUGUCGAUUAUUAUUUUUUAAAUAAUUUCAUUAAAUUGACAUUUCUGAUUUGGAUUAACGUAAAGUUUACUGUGUAGGUCAGGUCUAGAUUUUUGCAUUAUGAACGUAUAGUCAGACAUAUGAGUUGAUAUUUAUCAAGAUUUGUUUGUAAUUGUUGCGUGAGUAUUUUUCAGCAAAAAUUUAACAUCCCGUCCAGAUGGGACUAUAAAAUAAUAAUGCUACAGGUGGACUUGCGAUUAAUUACAGAAGGACUAUAUGGAUCCUGACCCUCAUGAUUGUAGCAUUGCUUAAUUAUACGCUGUGGAGUAUAAUUAAAAUGUAUUGAGCAGGCCUUUCUGCAAUACAAAUGCCAUUUGUGACAGCUUAAUCACGUCGACAAUCGACACCUUCAAGUGUCAGAUAAAUUGGGGUGUUUACUGCACUGCUGAAUAUUCAUAGUUGGAGGAAUCUUAAUUUGCAUUCUGACAGGUUCAAUUUCUUUACCCAUUUCAAUAAUAUUUCCUCCUCUUUUGUUUCAACAGCAGCCUGACAGCAGUUGCAAAAGUUAUGAGAAUGAACACUUCUGGGAUUAUCAUGGUCUGGAAAAAUCAUAGGCUGAUCACCGGAACAGUACCAUUACCAUUAUCCAUUUUAUGAAAUACUCGUAAAAGCAUCAUCAAAGGAAAUGGACAAAAAAUAAACUUUCAAUUCGGCCACGCGAUCUGCUCCCUACACACAACCACGAACAUCAAUAAUACGAUAUGGAAAACACCACGGCCUUAGUAAAAAUAUGAUAAUGGGACAUAUGUACAUAAGUAGGUAUUAGUCAAGAUGAUACGUACAAAAACAAUGGAAAGUGGGGAUCAACAAAAAACACCGGCAGUAGAAAACUGAGGAACAUUAAUAAAAAGACGGAUGAAUGAUAUCAAAUGUUUCAAUUUCCAACACGCAUUUCUGAUGAUAAAUAAUUGCAUGGGAAGAAAAACCAGCAGCAGCUGGGCUCUGAUGUUUUCUCAGAAUAAAAGGAAUCUUUUACCCUGACCGAACUGCACGAAGUAGUACAGAAAAUAUUGACUGACGUAGUCUGAUGUCCCACCAGGGAUAACGUGUGGUAAGACGAGUUGAGCCGGCCACUAAUGAAGGGUUGCCCUGGCAACUCUUCGUUUCGUCGACUUGCAUCCCUCGUGCCUCACCUCACUUGACACACGAGACGACAACGACGACUUUCCCUUCCGCUGAUCAUCAUCAUCAUCCUGACUUAAAGCACACCACGGAGACCAACCAAUCAUUUAUUAUUUUGUUAUUACAUGCACAUAUAUUUGUGGGAUAUAUACACACACCGCAUCAUUCCAUUACCCACACGUACAUAACAUGCGAAUUGAUUGCAUGGAAUAAAAUCGACUUCUCCAAGCCAUCUUGAUACAUACGUUAUGUAAUGAUAUACGAUACACAGAUUUAAAGAAAGUAAUAUAAAACAUCAUUAGUAAAUAAGUAAUGCUAGAUGACAAACUUUCUUCGCGUUGUAUUAAAUUGAUCUUUAUGAACAAAGAAAUGCAUGAUUUGUGGUGUGGUCUGAUAAUAAUGAGCGAUUGGAGAAAAGCAUAAAUCUAUCCUAAAUAAGUUUCUCAGUUUCAAAUUUAA